UUUGAUAUUUUGGCUCUCUUUCCCAUUGCAAGCUUGGAAUGGAAACAAGUUCUGCUAUUCCCUUGGCUCCAUUUCCCCAGAGGUUCCUCCUUGUGCAAAAGAGCCUGUGCUUGGAAGGGCUCCCGACUUUCUGCACUGUUCACUGCUGCUGCUUCCCAGCUCCCUGUGUCCAAUACAAGUGCAGAGCAAGCCCUUGAGUGCUUUUCAUGCAUCGCUAGCCAAGAUACACAGUGGCGGAGCACAUUUUGGAAGGCAAAAAGUGUGCUUGUCAUUGAUACAUGACCUACUUUGAAAAACGCCCCUUGGCACCACAUACUUCUUUUGUGUGUGGUCAGCAUUGAUCCCCACUCAUUAAGUUCUUAUUCUCUUUCAUAAACCAACAUAAAGUCCUGUUUCCACUUGGAAUACUUUGUGUCUUUCAAAGUGUUUUUGGAGCUGUUUUCUGCAGAAGUUUGAUAUUUUGGUGUGGUGUAUCUAGGGGCAGUCGUUCACCAGUGCAGCAUGUGCACUGAAGCACAUUGAUGUGGCCUCACCACAGCGUGACUCCUGCAUGAAGUUCUUUAAAUAUUUAAGUCCAGUGAUUCUACUCAGUUUUUAAAGGAAUAUGCAGUGAAGCUUGGCCACUUCCUCUAUUGUGAUGUUGCGCUCUAGGGUGACUCAAGACUAGGUUCAUAAUGCCUGAUUCCUGGAUAUCAGAAGAGAACAAGCUCAAAAUCUCGCUCCUCAACAGGGGGGAAACAAAAAUUAACUUUUGCCAUCAAACUGGUUUCAGCUGAGCCUGAGAUUCAGUCCAGUGGAGCUCCCAAUAGAAAAGCACAUGUACUUGUCCUUGAGCCUGUUUCUGUGAACACAGUCCAGAGCUACGGGCACCAUGCACAAGGAAUGAAAAGCUCCUCAAUCAGUGUUUAUCUCCACCACACAUGGGAAUCAGGAAACCCUCUGAAGAAUAAAAUACCCCACUUUCCUCACUGUACUUUGACUGUAUUAGAAAAACCACCUACCUUGCAGCAGCCCUGCUUGAUCCUCCUGUUCCUGGGGCAUCUCUGAACACCUGCAGAGGAAGAAUGGAACAACACCCCUGCUCUGCUGAGGUCAGAACUUUUUUUGAGCAAUUUGGCUGGGGCCCAGCUUCAUUCUUAAUUGCAGAGAGGGGCCAGUUAAGAUGCUGCCUCUUGGGGCAUGUCUGCUGCAUGGCCUCCCCUGGGUGGGAGAGCAGAGCAGAGGAGCUGAGGAGACCUCAACAGGCAGCUUGAGUACGUCAUGACACCACACCUGACCAAAACUGCAGUGACUUCUGAGCUCUUUUGGCUCUUACAGUCAGGAAAGCCUUGAUUUUCCUCCAUAUCCUUUGUUUGGGAAUUAGGAGGCCUAAUGUACAAAUAUAAGUGUACAAAAUUGCCAGAAAAGGCAGAGUCGUGGAGGGCUUUGAAGGAUCUUUUAAGUGAAGACAAGAAAUUUGAAAGAAACAACUGUAGGCAAUGGGAUUUUCUUAAUGUGAUGAGAUGGUGGGGGUGCCUGGCACCGAUGGCAAACGUGUUUAUGGUGAAUUGAGUUAACAGAGGAUGUGACAGAAUGAGAGCUCUAGCUGCAUGGGCAGUCACACCUCAGGCAAGGGGAGAGGAAGGCAUGAAAAAGAUCAACACUUUGAUUUGUGAGCUUAAAGAUGAGCUUAAAUUUGUAAGUGGCAUUUUGGAAACCGAAAUUGCCACUUUUACAUCAGAUCUGUCCUGUUGUUACCUGUGUUAUUAAAAGAGAUGGCUCUAUAAGUAAUUGUUUAAUCACUGUAUAUGAUCAUUCUGCCAUUUCUUUGCAGGAGACUGCAGGAAUGGCAUUUCAGGCUGUUACCACGGGGUGUCUCUCCCUGGCAGAGCAUGGCAUCCUUUCUGCUCUGACCCACAUCCUCUCCCCGCUGAUAAUUACUUUCUCUUAUCUGGUGAAGAAAAUUCUCUUCAAAGGAUUUCUUUGAUUAAGGAAAUGCAUUAAUUUGAUGUCUAGAUAAUAUUAAUGCUUUCCUGCUUAAGUCUCCUCACUUACUGUUUGAACAGCACACUAUUCCAUAGUUUCUUAAGGAAGAUCAGCAUCUUUGGAGUUUAAUGGAAGCUCCACUAUCAACCAAUUAACAUUUUUUAGGUUACAGGAAAAAAAUAUUUGAGAAAAGUAAAUCUAUGUGUUAUUAUUGCUGAAAACACCUCUGCCCAUCUCUUACACAUGCAGAUGUAAUCCUUGGGAGUGUUUACCCGAAGAACAAUCUCCCACUUGGACUUUCUGGGCUCAUCUCGCAAACUCUCAUAUUCAUACUCAGAAAAAGGACAAAUCGAAGAGAUGUUCAGGAAAUUGAGGUCCUGUAGACGGUACCAGCAGCAGCUAAAAGGUGUGAUUGUGAGCAUUUCCCACCAGAUGGCUCCCGAGGUUCAGGGGUGAUGCAGUGCCAAGCGCACAGACAGGAUGUGGUUCGUGACCAGCGAUUCUAUCGUGUCAUAAACCACUCUUGCAAUGAACAGCAGAGUUAUAACUUCAGCCCAGACCCCACUGACGAUCAGCACCACCACAGAGAACAUGUGCAUGAAGAACAGUGUUCUGUAAUGCCCCUGUGGGCACACAUGCAGGGAACAAAUGAAACUACAUGGUGACCAGCAACAAUUAAACCAGUUCAAUGGUUCCUUAAAGUAAUUUGUUUUAGCAAGCUCUGAUCAGAUCUGUUGUUAUCUCAAUCCUCUGGGCGCUAAAUUGGGCACCAAAAAUGCCUCUUGUGGUUUAACCCCAGCCAGCAAGUACGAGCCAUGCAGCUGCUGCCUCGUUACCCUCACCCCAGUGGAAAGAGAAUUGCAAAGAAGAGGCAAAGCUCAUGGGUUGAGAUGAGAAAAAUUUAAUAAUUGAAACAAAAUAAAAUAUACUACUGCUUCUGCUGACAAUUGUAAUGGAAAAGAGAGACAAGGAGCAAUAAAACCUAAUUGAAACGAGUGAUGCACAACACCAUUGCUCACCACCUACUGACUGACUCCCAACCCCCCUCCCAGCAGCAAUUGGCCCCUCCCAGCCAACUUCCCCCAGUUUAAAAACUGCACAUGAUGUUCUGUGGUCUGGAAUAUCCCUUUGGCCAGUUUGGGUCAGCUGUCCUGGCCAAGCUCCCUCCCUUGUGCAGCUCCUCACUGGCAAAGCACAGGAAGCUGAAAAGCCCCUGGCUCAGGAUAAGCACUGCUGAGCAAUGACUGAGCCAUUGGUGUGUUAUCAGCAUCAAUCUCACAUUCAAUCUAAAGCACAGCACUGCUGCAGCUAAGAAGAAAAUUAACUCUAUCCCAGCUGAAUCCAGGACAGAUCCUUUUAUUUAUUUCUUCCAGAAAGGAAGAAAUAUGACAAGAAAUCUGUUAAAGGAAAUUUAUUCAUUUAAGAAAUGAACUUUCUGUCUCAAACUAUGAACCCAGCUUUCAUCACAAACUCAGUCAUAGGCUUUAUUCAUAAGUAAUUGAAUCAGUCAUAAUUCUUCAUUCAGAAUUAGAAUAGCAGCGUUCUGAAGAGUGGACAAAAAGUUAACAGUGAUGGUUCUGAUAGAGGAAGAGUUGGGACAUACAUAUAAAAGAGCACAUUUGAAAUACCAAUACUUGGAGGUAGUACUAUCUUUUAAAAGUAGUUGCUUAAUUUACAGUGUAAACAGGUUUUUUUGUUAAAUAUUUAGGAUUAUUUUUCCCCCCAACAUGCACUUUAAGCACUUUUGGGGAAUUUUAAUUAUGUAAUAUUAAAAUUGUUUUUGUUCUGGGUUUUUCUGUUUGGAGUUGGUUUUGAAAUUCACAUUGAAUUGAACCCUUAGGAUAUGAUUAAGGUAAAUGACACUCUUGCAACAGCAGUGCAAAAAACCCUACCUUUGAUGUGUUCAACACUGACUUUACUGUGAACUUGAAAUCUUGUUCUGACUUUUGGGCUGGGGGAGAUUUCAUAUUUUCUGAUAGGUCUCACUUCCUCUAGUGCAGCAUUGUACUAUGCCUGUUAAGAUCAAGCAGUAAAUUCCACCUGAAAUCACAGAGUUGCAACUCAGUAGCUGAUACAGUAGUUGGAAAUGGCAAGUGUGAUGUGGGCCAGUGGAACAGUACCUGCUGUCCUGUCAUCCACUUACAUCCUUCCUCUGAUUUAGAAAUCUCUGGAGACAAUGACAAAGAUAGCUCACGUUUGGAAUAUUUUAUAUCUGCAUCUACCAACAAAAUAGCUGUCUAUGUCAGUUAAUCUAGAUUAUUUAAAGCACUUUUGCUCAUCUAUAUUAUUUGUUCACUCCCCUUACAUGGAAAGAUUUAGUGUCUAGUAAAUUUGUAAUGGGAGCUGUUGUAAUCUCAUUUUUUUUUUGUUUUUGAUCUUUUCUAAAUAUAAAGCAAAAAGAAAUGACGGUAAGAAGAGAUCCUGAGUAAGAUUUAACUGAUAAUUCCAUGAGAUGGAGAUCAUUCUACUAUUAGAGUCAAAAAUAGUGAGAGAUGUUCACAGCAAAUCAAUUAAAUAUGAAGGGCUAUAUAUUCUGUAAAGUGAAACUUUUGAUGAACAAAGCCUUUCAUAAAAAGUAAACAUUUGAAAAGAUAAUAUUUCCUUUCUUCUAUCGUUUAUACUUUCAUUUGAGAAUUGAUGUUAUUUCAUGUUAACUAAGGCAUAAACAUAUACACUUUACUUUUUUUAAUAAUAGGAAUUUCCUUAAAAUUCAAGUUGGUUCUCUGUGAAUCAGAGAUUGAGCACACCUGUCCCUGCAACCUACACAGCUGUUUGAUAUAGGGCAAAGAUAGUGAGUGCUACCAGGAUAAACCAUCAACCCACUCUUCCCACCUCUGUCCUGUUAUUAUUUUUCUCCUUCCCCAGAUUUUUGAGAAACAUAAUUUUUUUUUUCAAAUGAGAGCUACAGUCACUUGUCACACUGAGAUACUCCCUGUCAUUUAAGGUCAGCAGAACCUAAGCAGAUGCUCUCCUUUCUGCAAGUGCAAUAAACUCAAAUAAACCUUUAAUUGAUGCACUCGUAAAUGCAAACAGUAGUUUCAUUCCUUUGUGGGGGAAAUUAUUGCUCUCCUUUACUGAGAUCAUUUGAAGGGAAUCCCAAGACAUGAAACUAUGUGGUCAAACAGUGAGAUAACCUUUGUGAAUGGACACAUUUGCAAACCCUGGACAGAUCUAUGAAAGAGAUGGAAAACACAAGCAGUGGUGUCUCUAAAACACCACCUUUCUUUCCUCCCUUCUCCUUUUUAAAUGGCAGCGACAAUCAGUGAUCAGCUCUUCAGGCACGCUGCCAACAAAUUAUCUCCAGAUUUCUCAUUAAUAAGUGAAAGUAUUUACUGUGCAUUUAUUCCCAGUCAGGAGUAAGGGAGGUGGUACUAAUAAAGUGAAUGCAUGAUGAAUGGGGAGCUCUCUGGGUCUUCUCCUCAAGUAAUGGAAGCUGAGGCUCUGCACCAUAGCACUCCGAGGGAAAUUGGUCUAGUAGAACUGCACCAGGCAAUGUUUGUGCUUGCUUUCACAUUUUAUGCAAUUUGUAGCAAAUGCUGUGAGAUAUGUCAGUGAAAGAGGUGUGAGUGUUCUGUGCAUGAGCUGGGGUUGCCUUGGGCCUGUAAAGAUGACAAGAUUAAAAUAGGAUGAUUUGUUAUGUUAGGAAGAUGUGUGAAUGCAAUAGCAGGUUGAACUCAGCCUUAAUGAAAACAUGUUAUGACUUAUUUUUUUAAUUUCGAUUUUACUUUAGAGGGACAACUAUACUAAGAAUUAGGACUGGAUAAUUAGAAACAAAUGAAUUAGCACUCAGUUUGUGCCACCAAAUAACAUUUUAUAUACUAUAGUAAUAUCUUCCAUUUUAUAUAAUGCUGCAUUUUUCCAUGGAAUGGAGAUUUAUGGAAUUUCUCAUUUAAGAAGUGUCCUAGGAUCUGUCUUGCUCAGCCUUUGCUCAGUCAUUCAUGCACCUGGGAAGGACAAUUAGUCUUUUUUCAUGUUAGGAGAUGCUGGUUCAGAUCUGCACUGAUCAGAGCCCACCUGUGGAAUCAUAUAUCCUGUGCUCAGACUGAACUCGAAGACGCUUUGCUGCUUUCUCUUGCAGUAGGUUUAUGUUGCCAUCUCACCAAUAAAGUGAUCCUUGAAUGUUCCUUCAGAUAUAUGUCAGCCUUCAUCUCUGUAUGAUUUUGUAUGCAAAUAAAUUCUAACAGUGUUAUUAUUUCUAAAAGGAAAAAAACCCUCCAAAACCUAA